GUGGUUUUGAUGCAGCAUUGAACUGAAUAAAGUGCAGUAAACUGUGCAGGGAUGAAACCUACCAAAUGGGCUAAGCUGAUAAGCUAAGGACAAAUUUGUACAGUCUGAUGGCUGCUGGGAGGAAGCAUUCCCUUCUGCACCAGAGAAGAAGGAGCCUGCUGCACAGUGUACUCUGCAGAGCAUUGACGUCUGCAUGUAGUGGGUGUGUGGGUUCAGUCUUAGGGUCUCAUUUGUGCGUACACACAAAAAUUGGUCUGAAAUGUAUCCUCCCAGGCAGAAACUGGGAUUUAUAAAGAAAUAUUUGAAACUACUUGAAAUAGAAAAUGAUGCAUUGUCUAUAUCCCAGUGGUGUUUUUGGUAUUGUUAGAAGACCACUCCAACUGUACAAUAAGGUGAGAACAUGUUUUUAGACACCACAAAGAUUUCCUUGCAAUGAUGACUGGCUAAUGACCCGAUUUAAAUUUCCAAGAGCCAUUCUUUUGGUACUAUGUGCUGACUUGGUCCCAGGUUUAGAGAGACCAACAAGCACCUGUCCACUUACAGGUCUUAACAACCCUUGGAUGUUUCGGGGAUAUCUCAGCCAUCCUUAAGCUCCAUUAUGUUAGUUGUAUUGGUUGGUAUAAUUAAAUUAACAGGUAGGUACAUCGGAGUUCCUUACUCUGUAAGUGAAGAGGCCAAUGUCAAAGCACAAUUUGAAGCAAUGUCCGGUUUCCCAAAUGUAAUCUGAAAAUCGAAAGCAAUUUAAUCCUAUAAAUGAACAAGUAAUUUUUAUUCCCAAACCCACGUAGAAGAGAGGAGAGGCACUACAAUGACACACACUCUUGCACACAUUCACACGCCUGCGUAAAGCAUGAUGGAAAUGCCAGAGUGGCUAAUCAGGAGAUCCAGGAGAAUUCAUGGUGGGCAAUGUCAGUGUCAUAACUUAGAACUACUUAUGUAAUGUUCCUUGUCUGUGGUGUGACAAUGACCAGUAUCCACAAAGACAUGUGCCACUAACUAAUGCUUUAAUAAAGAGAACAUGGUUGCUUAACUUGAGCCAAUCACAGAGAGAAAGAGAGAGAGAGCGUGAGCCAAAAAAGAAGUAACUCCCAGUAACACGCAGCACUCUCCUAUUACCAUUCACCCAGUGCCCCCUAGUGUUGCUAUUAAGCAAAAACAUUAUUAGUGCAUAACAAUACACUACAUCCCCCUUUUCUUGUUAAACAUUGUCCCCUGAAACAGCCACUAUACACGUCAUAACUCGUCAUAAAUCUCAAAAGUCUCCAUAACAAUCAUAAAGAACUGUACUUAAAUAUUCAGUCACUUUCUAAGUACGCAAUGUAUUAUACAGGGCUAAAAGCUUUAACAGAUUUCCAAGGCACACAGUCUUUAGGUAUGGCUCAUGCAGUAGUCCUGAAACCUCACUGGAAAUUUGACUACCUGACCACUCCUUGUGCAGGCAGUACCGGCAUCAUGUACAGGUUUAGCAGGUACUUCUUCAGUUUCCUCUUUAUCAGGGGGAAUCCUGGAUGUUCCUUGAAUUAUGCUAAUGUUUUCUUUUGGCCAAAUUGUUAAACAUGCACGCACACAUUAUCUUUUUUAGCUAGACUAGCCUGUCCCCACACAAACACUGGGAAAAAAAAGGAAAAAACAAUAUGGCAGAAACUCCUUAUAAAGGCUAACACUUCCAGAAUUUUUGGAUUCCGGAAAUCUGCCAAGAGAUUUCACACCUUUGGAAAUGUGAAGGCUCUGAAGCUCUCCUUCAGACCAUGGACUUCUCAGCAGUGACGUUGUGAUUAUUUCUGAUGAUGAGUUUCCUGGAACAUCCACACAAGGCCAUUUGAAUCCAAGGUCACUGGGGCAUAACCAUUCUAUCCAAAGACCAAUAGCCACCGUAGUACCACAGCCUAGAACAAUAUUGCAAACUACACAAGUUGAAGACAUCCCGAUUAUUAGUGAUGAUGAAUCAAGUACUUCAGAUGUGAGCAAUGCCAAAGAUGAUGGUAAUAUAGAACAAGAGGAGGAAAAGAAGAAGAAAAUAACAUCAGAGAAGUCGAUAAUGAACUAGAGAUCAACACUGCAUUGAAAGAAUUCUUGCAGCUAAAGACUGCUUUAUUGGAAAACUUUGGACAUCUUGAUAAUACAAUUCAAAAUGGUCCAGGUAGGGAAUUUGUUCCAUCAUUGUACAUUACCCUCAAAUCCUUGAAUAGGUGUGUCACAGUGAACAUAAAAUUAAUAAGAAAAUUCUAUGAUCGAUCUGGCACAGAAACGCCCGGAACAAUUCAGUUACAAAAAAAUUAGAACUGAAAAUACUCCAUCACUCCAUGAUUUCUGCUAUGGUGAAAACCAGAGUUCUUCAAAUAGUUUGUUACAUAAUUAUCCGUACACAACUCUGAACCCAUAUUUAACUGAUGUGGUCAACCAACUGAAUGAAAGAUUAAUUCCGUCACACCAGGUCAUUAGUCACAGUCCUAGUCAGAGUCCCAAUACACUGGCAACUCAACAUGACAUAUUCUAUGAUCUCAAUCAAAGUCUGUUAAGAUUACACAAUAGCCUAAAUGAACAUUGUCAUUCUGUACAAUUAAAACCUGAUUUAAUCAAAGCAGUCAACCAGUUGAAUGAAAAUUCCAGCCAAAAUUCCAGUCAAAAUGUAUCAAACACACUGGUGACUCCACAUGACAACUGUUAAGGUUACAAAAUAGAACAAUGAACAAAUGAAAAACAAUGAAAAUGAACAAAGCCAUUCUAUGCAGUUAAAUCCAGUUUUAACAGAUGCAAGGGAAUCAGCUGAAUGAAAGUUUGGCAUUAUUUCCUGAACAUAACUUCAAUAUUGUCUCAACUCCAGAAAUCACUCAGGAACAUAGACCAUUAUCUCCUAAAGAUUUGUUUUAUGAUCUGAAAGUCUUAUGAUUUUAAAUGACAGUCUUUCUAACUUAAUCAAGCCCCCUGCCAUUGUUCCACAAAAUUCAGGAAUUGAUAAUGAGCAUGACCCUUCACUAUCUAAUGUUCAGAUGGAAGAUGUUUUGUCUCCUAAUAACCAAAAUGUUCAAUUAGAUAUUGAUGAGGAAAACAUGCCAGAAUGCUGAAGCUGGCAAUGGGUUAGAUCCUAUUAUUAGAACAAUUAAUUGUGACAGAUUUAAUAACACAAUGAUUAGACGAAGAGUAAAUUUUUCUUCGAUCACUGAUGUCAACAGCUUUGUGGAAUUUUAUAACUGUUUGAGAUGUUAAACAGUAUGAUAGAUGCGGCCAAUGAAAUAUUUACACCAAACAAUGUUGUUACAGUUGAAAUCAGAGGUGAUGUGCUUAAUGCUUCAUUGUGCAUUCAAUUAGUCAGUGGUGCCAUUGCAUUGCAAUCUUUUCUGACCAUGCUCGAAAAUGCCAUUCAGAGUAAACUUGAAAUUUUUAUGGACAAUACCCUUGAAAUAGUAAUCCAAAUAGCCCAACCUCCUCGAGGUGGUGCAGCUAGAAGGAAAACAGGUAAUAUAUUCGGUUCAGAAGCUGUUCGGAAAAAUAUGAGACAUCGCUAAACAAAUCGCUAAACAAAUCCAACAGGAUGUGGGAUUACCUGUAAACACUCCAGUCUCCUUUGCUGAUGUAUCGAGAUUUGAGAAAGCUUUGAACUGUAAAAUCAUAAUCAUAUACUGUUCUUCCAACAAAGCCAGAUACUCUUUCUUUCAAACUAGCAAGACUCCCCAUGAAAAAAAAAACAAUUUACUUUUUCUUGCAUGACAACCACUAUUAUGGGGUUAAAAAUAUCACUGGUCUUUUAGGAUCAAGUUUUGUCUGUCGUUCCUAUCAAUCAGGAUCUGGUAUUUCAUAGAAACACAAAUGCGAAUUUAGCUGCAAUGUUUGUCAUGAUCCUGAUUGGAUCACCCUAACACCCUAAAGAUUUAUCUAGGUGUCCAGAGACCUAGAUUGCCAGAGAUUAUGUAGAUCACAAAAUUGUUUUGACAGGCAUAAAGUUGAGUUGACUGAACUUUAGUUGAGUGAAGGUGUAUAUUCUAUGUGUGAAUUGGGUUUCUACAGAAGUAAAUGCAAUUGUGUGAUACCACAGCACCCGUUUAACUGGAAAAAAAAAGUGUGCUCUCAGGGGAAGUGCAAAUUUUGUGGUGAACAAGUCGAUACAGUUACUGAACAUAGUUGUUUUAUACAACCGGCUAAGGAAGAAUACGUAGAUGAGAAAUAUGAAAUAUGUGUUUUUUGAUUUUGAGACUAGAUAGGAAAAAGGAACUUGUAUAGCUAAUUUCUUAUGCUGUUUUUAUUUUCAUCGAGAAGUGUGGGUGAGCGAAGGGGAUGGAUAUGUCCAUACCUUUUAAGAAGUUUAAGAGCCUUUUAAGAAGUCUAUACACAUACAGCUAGAGGGUACAAAUCAUUUAGUGAAAGAAGGACUCACACCUGAUAUAGCGCAAGGUGGUAAAAUUUUGUGUUCACCGAUUCUGAGUUUUGUCAGUCCUACACUGAUAGCCUAUCAUUCUUACCCAAGAAGCUAAGCAGGAUCCCAAAAGCCAUGGGAUUUUCAGAAAAAAAAACAAAGGUUAUUUUCCCCAUUUCUGGAACACCUAAGAACAUGAGGACUAUGUAGGCCCAUAACCUGAGCCUAUUUUUAUGGUGCAGAUAGCCUGAUACCUAAAGAAAGAGAAGAAUUUUUCAAAUGGUACAGAACUGUUUCUGACAAAGUCUUUGAUUUCAAGAAAGAGAUGGCCGAAUACUAUCAACAUUUUGAGAAAGGGCUGUUUAACCUUCAGAAAUGAAAUUCUGAAAAGUAUAAAUGGUGAUCCUUUUAAAUGCCUAACAAUUGAGUCUGUCUACAUGAAAAUCUUUAGAACCAAAUUCUUUCCUAAAAACACUUUAGCUAUUCCACCAUUUGAUAAUUACAUCAGCAGACAGAAAUCUUUCUCAACACCUUCCAUAUAAUGGCUCAAAUACACAAAAAACCUACCCAUUCAACAUAUGCUGAAUGAUAAUGAAGCUAGGUUUGGUAACUAUUUUAUAGAUGGUUACUGUGCAGUUGGUCAGACACACAAGGCUUUUGAGUUUCUUGGUUGUUUUUAUCACGGUGGUCUUACAAGCGAACUAGAUGAUCAAAUUGUAGAAUUCGUAAGUGCUGCCACUAAAACCUAUGCUUACAAACUUAUAAAAGGAAAAACAACUAUGAAAACUAAAGACAUUACUUUAAAUUAUGUCAAAUCUGAAGCUGUCCAUUUGAAAUCUCUGAUGGACCAGGUGGAUGAACAUGUGAAAAAUCUGGAUCAAACCAGUCAACUUAUAACACCACAUAACCAAUUGUGCGAGAUAAAAAGGGUUUUCAUAUCACUGUUAAAAAGAUUCAGGGUUGUGUACGAUAAGCAUGUUUUAUUACUUGAACUUUUUUUUUUUUUUUGAAAAAAAAAAAACAUUUUUUGAACAUUAGUAUUGGAAAAUAUGAAUGUGUCUGCUUUUGACGAGAGGAUGCAAUUUCCCUUUUCAUGUAUCGUAUGUGGACCAAGUAAUAGUGGAAAAUCAUAUUUUAUCAAAAUGUUGUUGGAAAAAUGUAAAGAGGUAUUGUCAAUAGUUCCCAAAAACAUUGCUUGUUAUAGGUGCUGCCAACCUCUGUAUGAUGAAUUGAUGACCAGAUAUAUAAAUAUACAUUUUCAUCAAGGAAUCCCUGAAUCUUUGUGUGGUGAUGAACUAUUUCCCCCAAAGAAAACUUAUUGGUAAUUUUGAUGGAAUCUGCCAGUAAAAAUGAUGAAGUAGAAAAGGCUUUUACAAAAUACACCAACCACAUAAAUCUGAGCAUCAUCUAUCUUGUUCAAAACCUGUUUUUUUUUUCAAG